UUGACCUCGGAUCAGGUAGGAAUACCCGCUGAACUUAAGCAUAUCAAUAAGCGGAGGAAAAGAAACCAACAGGGAUUGCCCUAGUAACGGCGAGUGAAGCGGCAACAGCUCAAAUUUGAAAUCUGGCUCUCGGGCCCGAGUUGUAAUUUGUAGAGGAUACUUUUGAUGCGGUGCCUUCCGAGUUCCCUGGAACGGGACGCCAUAGAGGGUGAGAGCCCCGUCUGGUUGGAUGCCAAAUCUCUGUAAAGUUCCUUCGACGAGUCGAGUAGUUUGGGAAUGCUGCUCUAAAUGGGAGGUAUAUGUCUUCUAAAGCUAAAUACCGGCCAGAGACCGAUAGCGCACAAGUAGAGUGAUCGAAAGAUGAAAAGCACUUUGAAAAGAGAGUUAAAAAGUACGUGAAAUUGUUGAAAGGGAAGCGUUUAUGACCAGACUUGGGCUUGGUUAAUCAUCUGGGGUUCUCCCCAGUGCACUUUUCCAGUCCAGGCCAGCAUCAGUUUUCCCCGGGGGAUAAAGACUUCGGGAAUGUGGCUCUCUUCGGGGAGUGUUAUAGCCCGUUGUGUAAUACCCUGGGGGGGACUGAGGUUCGCGCAUCUGCAAGGAUGCUGGCG
rnacentral:rRNA from 1 species